GACGAACGCUGGCGGCGUGCUUAACACAUGCAAGUCGAACGGGUCUGCCCUGUUUUUUGCGGGGUGGGUCAGUGGCGAACGGGUGAGUAACACGUGAGUAACCUGCCCCUCACUUCUGGAUAACCGCUUGAAAGGGUGGCUAAUACGGGGUGUUCUGGCUGUGCCGCAUGGUGUGGCUGGGAAAGAUUCACUUUUGUGGUGUUUUGGUGGGGGAUGGGCUCGCGGCCUAUCAGCUUGUUGGUGGGGUGAUGGCCUGCCAAGGCUUUGACGGGUAGCCGGCCUGGGAGGGUGGGCGGUCACACUGGGACUGAGAGACGGCCCAGACUCCUGCGGGAGGCAGCAGUGGGGGGUAUUGCACAAUGGGCGGAAGCCUGAUGCAGCGACGUCGCGUGAGGGAUGGAGGCCGUCGGGUUGUGAACCUCUUUCGCCGGUGAAGAAGGUCCUGCUCUUUGUGGUGGGGUUGACGGUAGCCGGGUUAUGAAGCGCCGGCUAACUACGUG
rnacentral:rRNA from 1 species